rnacentral:rRNA from 1 species
UACAGAGGUCUCAAGCGUUGUUCGGAUUCAUUGGGCGUAAAGGGUGCGUAGGCGGCGCGGUAAGUCGGGUGUGAAAUCUCGGGGCUUAACUCCGAAACUGCAUUCGAUACUGCCGUGCUUGAGGACUGGAGAGGAGACUGGAAUUUACGGUGUAGCGGUGAAAUGCGUAGAUAUCGUAAGGAAGACCAGUGGCGAAGGCGGGUCUCUGGACAGUUCCUGACGCUGAGGCACGAAGGCCCAGGGGGAGCAAAACGGGG